UCCCUGGUGGCCUAGCAGUUAAGGACUUGGCCUUAUCACUGCCGAGGCUCAGGUUCGAUCCCUGACCUGGGAA
rnacentral:tRNA from 1 species